rnacentral:rRNA from 1 species
AUACGUAGGGGGCGAGCGUUGUCCGGAAUGACUGGGCGUAAAGGGCGUGUAGGCGGCCGAUUAAGUCUGGAGUGAAAGUCCUGCUUUCAAGGUGGGAAUUGCUUUGGAUACUGCCGCGCUUGAGUGCAGGAGAGGUUAUCGGAAUUCCCGGUGUAGCGGUGAAAUGCGUAGAGAUCGGGAGGAACACCAGUGGCGAAGGCGGGUAACUGGACUGCAACUGACGCUGAGGCGCGAAAGUGUGGGGAGCAAACAGGAUUAGAUACCCUGGUAGUCCACACUGUAAACGAUGAAUGCUAGGUGUAAGAGGUAUCGACCCCUUUUGUGCCGGAGUCAACACAAUAAGCAUUCCGCCUGGGGAGUACGGCCGCAAGGUUGAAACUCAAAGGAAUUGACGGGG